UGUAUAUGUAUGCAUAUGUAUGUAUGUAUAUAUGUAUAUAUUUCUUUUUUUUUCUUUUUAAAUCCCAGAUUGGGAAUUGGCUGCUCCAAUGCUAUACAAAUUCUAGUUUUUCUGAGCUCCACACACUGCAUCCUCUCCCUCAAAAAGAAGUACAAGUUUAUGGGGUGCCUGUGUGGCUCAGUCGGUUGAACGUCCGACUUCGGCUCAGGUCAUGAUCUCACAGUUUGUGAGUUUGAGCCCCACGUCGGGCUCUGUGCUUACAGCUAGGAGCCUGGAUCCUGCUUCAGAUUCUGUGUCUCCCUCUCUCUCUGCUCCUUCCCCAUUCAUGCUCUGUCUCUCUCUGUCUCUCAAAAAUUUAAAAAAACGUUAAAAAAAUUAAAAAGUACAAGUUUUAUUUUUUUGACUUAUCCUUGUCACCUUUAGACUUAAUUCCAGGACAUUUCUCUAGAAGAUUUAAAAGAAAGAAAAUUACUCAUGCAACAUUGUGCAAAUCAUUUUGUCUCUAAUUUCCACUUCUUCACCUCUAAAAUAGAAAUCAUUUGAAAUCUGCCCUGCCUUUCUUUGAAAAUUAAUGAGGAUCAGAUAAAAUGAUGUAUGCAAAAGUGCAUUUUUUUUUUCAUUUUAAAGCACUCUGUGAAAUGAAGUUCUUAUCAAGUAACAAUGGGUGUAAAUUUUUGUUGGAUAUAAAUAUAUCCACAGGAGUUUACUGUUUCUUUCUUGUGGAACUCCACUAAAAGGAAAGUAAAGAAUUUAAAAGGUAUGAACAUACAAGGACAAAGAACAAGAAAAAAAGACAAUAGCAAUUGAGUGAGUCUAGUAAGUUUCUUAGGAGAUGGAAAGCAAACAAGGAAGAGUGGACAUGACAGCAUAAUAGAAGCUUCAAACUGAGUUACAAAAUCCUCAGAGGACCAAGGCAGAAGACGGGUGUCACAGUGUGCUGCAGAGCUGAACUGCGGGAGACGGAGUCAAAGUUUGUGUACAAAACAGCCUGAACCCUCAUGUCUUUUCUCCCAGCCUGUGAAGUCCUUUGUGGUUGGUUAAAGAUGGCUGCAAGUUAGCUGACACUUCUCUCAUCGGGAGGUAGGGAUCCUCCCCCUCCUUGAAUCUGCUUUGACCAAUUGAAUAUGGUAGGAGUGGCACUGUAUAGGUUUUCAGGCCCAGCCUUAAGAAACUGGGAGAUUUGACUUUCUUUAUCUUGGAACACUUGCUCUUGAAACCCAACCUCUAUGCUCUCAGAAGCUUAAGACACUUAAGCUUAAGAGACUAUUUGAAACUAAGCUUUCAGCUAUAACCAGCAUCUACUGGCAGCCAUGUGAGUGAGUCAUUCUCACUCACAGGUGCUAUCUGACUGUAACAGCAUGAGAAACCUCUACCCACGUAAGAACCAUUCAGCUGAGUUCAGUCAACUCACAGAACCAUAAAAGGUAGUAAUAAGAAGAAGAAAUUAAGCCACUUAGUUUUUCAUGCAACAAUAGACAAGUAGAACACCAGGUCACACCAGGCAACCAUAACCUCAUCUGCCCUAACUUGAACACUGAAAAAGGUCUAUUCUUUCAAACCAGAAAUCCUUGAAUUUCAAGACCAUCAGGCCAACUAAAGACAGAAGUGAGGCAUGGAGGGGUGUCUGGGUGGCUCAGUCGGUUGAGCGUCAGACUUCGGCUCAGGUCAUGAUCUCAUGGUUUGUGAGUUCGAGCCGACGUUGGGCUUUGCACUGACAGUGCAAAGCCUGCUUUGGAUUCUCUCUCUCCCUCUCUUCUCCCCCUCACUGCUCACAUGUACUCUCUCUCUCUCUCUCUCUCUCUCAAAAAUAAAUAAACAUUAAAAAAAAAGAAAUGAGGUAGAGCUAGUAAAUGAAAGUCUUCACUCUGAACAAAGAGUUCACCCAGCCUUUUUCUUUCACCCUCAUAAAAGACUAGUAGCUCCCCCCCCCCAAAAAAAAUGUAUAGUGGAUUCUUCUCUCAGGAAACAUAAUGGCCCCAGAAAAAAGAUAAUUAAAUAUUGACAUUUGGGAACUUUCCCAAUUAAAAGGUUGCCUCACCACCAGAUUAGGUUGCAGAGAAGGAUACCAGUUUAAUAACCUUCCCACACAUAGAUCUUCCCAACUGGCUUAUUUGGAGCUCUUAAACGUAACAAACCACUAAGAAUCAUCAAUAUCUUAGGAAAGCCAGAAAUUAAUACACACACAUACACGUACACAUCUAAGAGAGCCAGAGUUAGAGACAGUAAAGAGAAUAGGAAGUGGGAAAACUGACAAGAAAAAAAGUUACAUCCAUGAAACAAAACAACAUUAUUUUAUUUUUUUAAGUAGGCUCUACACCAGAUGUGGGGCUCAAACUCAUGACCCCAAAAUCAAGAGUCAUAUGCUCUACCAACUGAGCCAACUAGGCACCCCAGAAUAUUAUUUUAAAACAGAGGGAAGAACAACAAGCAGAGACUCUUUAGAAACAACAACAGACAUGACUGACCAAAUUUAAAAUUCAUGAAAAGAUAUAUUAUUUUACUAUGCUGUAAAACAGAUUACCAUAAACUUAGUGGCUUAAAACAACACAUAUUUAUUAUCUCACACUUUCUGUGGAUCAGGAGUCUGAGCACAGCUUAGCUGGGUCCCCUGUUCACGGUCUCACAAGGCAAUAAUCCAUGUAUCAGCCGGGACUGGGUUCUCACCAGAAGCUAGAGUGGGGAAAGAUCCACUUCUAAACUCCUUCAAGUUGUCACAAAAUUCAUCUCCUUGCAGCUGUAGAUUCUUGGCAGCUUGCUUCUAUAGAGCUAGCAAUGGAGAGAGGGUCCCUAGCAAGAUGGGAGCUACACUUUUAUGCAAUCACAUUCACAUGAUGAUCACAUGCAUCCUAGCCCCUGUGUCACAUUCAUUUCAUUUAUUAGAAAUUUUUCCAGGUCCCAGCCACACUAAAGAGAAGGGUAUCAUGCAAAGAAUACCAGGAAGUGGUAUCCUUGGGAGAAUCACUUAACACAUCAUGGAGACCACUUACAAAUCUUCUACAGAAGCGUUGUGAUAUUGCAUUCAAAAAAUCAUUAAAAAAUGAGAAUCUAUGGAAAUACCAAUGUGUUGUGAACCUGAACAGACAAAUAUAACAUUGUAUGACAAUUAUACUUCAGUAAUUUUUUAAAGCUAUGGAAAUAGAAGUGAAAACAUAAAAAACUAAGAAGAAUGGACUAGGAGGUCUAAUACCUGACUAAUAAGAUUUCUAAAAGGAGAGAUUAGAGUAAAACUGUGGAGAAAAAAAAUUUUGAAAGAAAUAAUAUAAGAAGAUGAGGUCCCAGAACUAAAGGGCAUGAUUCUACAGAUUAAAGGGUCCAUUGAGUGCCUAUCAAACUUAAGAAGAAAUCCAACAUCAUUGUGAGUUUUAAGAACACAAGAGAUGAAGGUCCUAACGGUUUCCAGAGAGAAAAAUUAGAAUUCCAUUGAACUUCUUAACAGCAAUCAGAACAUAGAACAUAAUGGAAGAAUACCUUAAAAAUUCUGAGUGCUUUACAGUAAAAUUCUAUGCUUAUCUACUCUAUAAGUGAGGAGAACCUAGAGACAUUCUAAGAUGUAUAAGGACUCAAACAGAGAGGUUUCAAAUGAAGAACAACCAGUUCAUACUGAAGCAGGUUCCAAUGAGCAGAUAUACCACACUGGAUCUGCAGGCUUAAGCAACCAACCUUAGCCAGCAACCAUUCAUAGGAACUCAUAACUCCUGUGGAGCAUGGAGAGGGUGUCAUCUGGUUCUCAGGCAGCUGGGUUGCAGUUUCCUCUGGAAUGUGGACAAACUCAGUGACUUGCUUUUGACCAAUAGGAAAAGUGAAAGUAAAGGUCUAUGGCUUUGGAGGCUAAGUCAUAAAAGGUACCGUGGCUUCUUCCUUGCUCUCUCUUGGAUUGCUCACUCUGGAGGAAGUUACCAUGUUUUGAAGACAGGUCCACCUUGUGAGGAGCUGAGGACUCCAGCCAAGAGCCAGGAAAACUCCAGAUACCCACUACUUUUUACCUGGUCCCGUGCAGAAUGCUGUGGGUUUUAUAUUCUAACUGAAGCCACUGUACUCGCUAUGGCAGAAACUGACAAUGAAAUAAGAGACAAGUGAAACCAAGAAGAUAGGAGCUACUUGCUGGCGAAUUAGUAGAACAUAAAGGCUCGUGUUGUAUGUGUUGCAAGACCCUAACCACAACCUCUCUAUUCAGAAGACCAGCCAAGCUAAGUCAGACUGUGGCCCACAUUUCAGGGGACAUGAGGGACACCACCAGGUAGUUAAGUAUCUCAGGAACUCUCUGCUCAUUGGAGGAAUUUUUGUUGAAGUGAAUGAUUAUAUAUAAUUUUUGAGGUCAACAUGAAACAAGUUAGAAAGUAAUCAAUGUUCACUGAGGAGCAUUACUGAGAGACAGCCGGUUUAUAGGUUUUUGAUUGUGGUGCAAGAUGUGCACUCGUUCCCGUGUGAGUGGGAUUUGGGAUUUAAUUUCAGAACCACCUUGUAAUAUAUCUGGUGCCAUAUAAUGUUACUAACUUCCCCCAAUAUCAUCAUUACUAAUAAGAGCUAUCUAUAUUUUGAACCCUUAGCACACACGGCCUUGUGCUAAAUUCUGACCAUAUUUUAGAAUUUCUUCUACAUAGAAGAUGCUCAUAGUAGAGCAUGAGGUGGAUAAUAUUGUCUUCGUUUCAUCAGUUAAGGAAUCCAGAAGAGUUAGGAGUCUGUUCAGGGUCACACAGCUACUCAGUUGGAGAGCCAGGGUUUGGCACCAGUCCUACCUAGCCCCCAAACAUGUCUUUAACCACUGUUCUAUGGGCACUCUGCACAGUAUUUAACAAGGGACAGAUGGACUUGUUUCUAACACAAGUCAGUUUGAAGAAUAUUGUAAGUCAAAUGAUUAUCUAGUUUGUAUCUUCAUGUUCACAUGCGAAGGAAAAAACUUCUGUUGUCCCAGGAAUUACUGUUGUGCUUUGCAUUUCUAAGAGCAUAUGUUAAAACUGAAGAAAAUUCCUUGCAGAUGUAAGACAUGUCUGGUAACACUUGCCUGAUCGGUCCUUUCAGUUGGAUGCCAUAGCGACUUGCCCUACCCACCCCACCCCCACUUCUCUUUACAUAAAAGGGCUGGGUUUUCCUAUCUGUCCUUCUACUCUAGGACAUGCUGCACAGCUUUGCUGUUGACAAGCAUUUCUUGGUAAAGGGUUCUGUGGCGUAAAAUUUCUUAGCCUUCUACCACUUGUAAUACAUAAACAUUAAGAUGGAGGGCUUCAGUUUAGAAGACAAGCAGGCAGCGCUCAUUCAAAGAUGUGGGGACAUAGUAGGUUCCUAUCUUCUCUGUGUAACCAUUCAGAUAAAGACUGUGUUAGCCAAGUAGGAUUUCCUAUGGAUCGUGGGUUACCAAAACAUUUUCAUUCAAAAUGGACUUUUAAGAAAAUAGGAAACCUGUGAAAUUACAAAGGUUACAAAAGACUUUAAUUCCUACAAUGACCUGAGGGUUAAACACACACACACACACACACACACACACACACACACACACACACCCCAUAACUAUGUUCUAAAGAAUGCUUCAAUAAUUCGUUAAUACUAACAAUUGAAGGGUGCAAUUUAUUCAGUGAUAGCCAUCAAAUCACCUACUGUUGCAGACAUGGGUGUACCAGGGAGGAGAUGAGACUAGUUUCUUAAGAUCUUUCCCUAGUUCCUUUGAAAUGUUCAUCUCUUCAAGUCUCUCAGCGCCCCCCACCCACCUCCAAAAAAAAAAAAAAAAAAAAAAAGAAAGAAAGAAAAAGAAAAAAUUAGAGAAGAAAAGGAAGGGGUGUGGGGCUGGAAAGUCCAGGGGUGAAAGAAGACUCCUCACCCUGUGAUUGGGGUUAUCUUAACCUCUUCUCUGCUAUUUAUUUAACUUGUGUGUACAGCCAGAAGGAAGCCACUCCUCUGGGGUCCCUGGACAGCUUAAAUCCCCGUGACCCACUUAACACAAUAGAUUGUUUUAAUCAACUCGUGUCCUGGCACCAUCUCGAAGGGGAACAUAAACAGACGCGCGCACCGCUCGGAUCUGCUUUUUCCAGCAGGAGAUCCAAUUACCUGCCAGUGGUCGUCUCUCUGCCCUUGUAGCCUUUAAAGAGAGAUUUUAACCCCUAACGUCUAAAAGAGCUGGGAUUCAAAGUCGACAGAGGAGGAGAAGGCGACAGCCGGAUUCUACCCUGGGACCCAUUCAGACCAGCUCUGGGAGCGCGGGAAAGGCUUCACUGCAAAAAAUUGGUCACCUCCUGUCUGCCCCCUGCCUCGCCCAGGGACCGUGGCCAGGGCCCGCCGCGGGGAAACACCAGGCUGGGGCGCUCCCAAGGUGCAGCCGGGACCCGAAGACAAUGCCAAGCCAGAGCGGUGGCGCUUCCCGUUCUCCAAACCUUAAGCCUACAAACAGCACUGGCCGGCGAGGUGACAGUACCUCUGCCCCUCCGCCCCGGGUCUUGCAAGGGAGUCAGCAAGACGGCGACAGGGAACGGGGAGCACCUGGACAUCUGAGCCGCCAGUCCCGCAUCGUCCGUGGCUAACGAGACGCAGCGGGGCGAGGCGGGGCACUCUAGAACACAAAUUAAGGGGAACGGGACCCUGCGGGUUAGCUCUGCCCGGCUCCUGGACGUUCGCGGUUCAGCCAAGGGGCGCGCAAGGCGCGGAGGAGCCUAGAAGAGAGCACCGAGCGCCCACGCGUGCGUGGCCAGCAAGUGGAUGUGUGUGGUGUGUGCGGUAUGAGCACCGCGGGCUCUCUGUACUCCGCGUCCCGGAUCGCGCACGGCACUGAAGCUGACCCGUUACCCAACGCUCGG